GUUUCACGCAAUAAUGUGUCCCUGAACAAAGUGGGGGUCAAAAUCAAAAGUAACAGUCAGUAUCUGGUGUGGCCACCAGCUGCAUUAAGUACUGCAGUGCAUUUCCUCCUCAUGGACUGCACCAGAUUUGCCAGUUCUUGCUGUGAGAUGUUACCCCAUUCUUCCACCAAGGCACCUGCAAGUUCCCAGACAUUUCUGGGGGGGAAUGGCCCUAGCCCUCACCCUCUGAUCCAACAGGUCCCAGACGUGCUCAAUGGGAUUGAGAUCCAGGCUCUUCGCUGGCCAUGGCAGAACACUGACAUUCCUGUCUUGCAGGAAAUCACGCACAGAACGAGCAGUAUGGCUGGUGGCAUUGUCAUGCUGGAGAGGAUGUCUUCCCGGUAAUGCACAGCGUUGAGAUUGCCUGCAAUGACAACAAGCUCAGUCCGAUGAUGCUGUGACACACUGCCCCAGACCAUGAUGGACCCUCCACCUCCAAAUUGAUCCCUUGCUCCUGUCUAGGCGUCUCACAGUACGGACAUUGCAAUUUAUUGCCCUGGCCACAUCUGCAGUCCUCAUGCCUCCUUGCAGCAUGCCUAAGGCACGUUCACGCAGAUGAGCAGGGACCCUGAGCAUUUGUUUUAUUUAUUUUUUCUCAGAGUCAGUAGAAAGGCCUCUUUAAUGUCCUAAGUUUUCAUAACUGUGACCUUAAUUGUCAGGUGCAUGUUCAUUAAUUGUUUAUGGUUUAUUGAACAAGCAUGGGAAACAGUGUUUAAAACCUUUACAAUGAAGAUCUGUGAAGUUAUUUUGAUUUUUACGAAUUAUCUUUGAAAGACAGGGUCCUGAAAAAGGGACGUUUCUUUUUUUGCUGAGUUUAUGUUUCUAGAUUUCAGAGCUGGUGUUCGUCAUCAAACUGUAUAAUCCAUGGUAAACGCAUUCAAAAAUAUAACACACGAUAGACAAACUUUAGUCAAACCUAACUUUUAUUCAAAUAACAUGUACAGCUCUAUGCUCUACAGUAAGCUAACACAGUAGUGCGGUAGAGACGGGGGUUGGGGGGUGCUCAGCAAGGGACCAUAUGACACAGCACACCUCGGGGUCUUGAGAGGAGGCGCCUUCAGAGUGUCUCACGGCAUACAUUAUGUUGUAUGCCAUAGGGAACGUAUGAAGUGGUGCCUUUUUUAUUGCUUGAAAAGACCAAAAAUAUCAAACAAGAUUAAAACCAAAUACUUAUUAAAAUGCCCAUGUAGCGGACAUGAGUCGGAGAGGUAAUGGUGACACCCACUAGUAUGAAAUAAUGUUGCGGAUUUACCUCAGUGAUCUCUGACUUUGUCGGGAUUGACCUCUGGGCGUCAAUGGCAACAACAACAACAAAAAUGGCUCAUCAAAAUGGAAGACAUUCUCUGCAGGAGAAAUGUAUUCAAAUGUCUCCCUCAUCCUAAUUUUCUUCAUGCUAGUGAGUAAAUAUAUAGAGAAACAUUUGAGGAAAUGUGGAAUUGGAAACCAAAUAGAAGAUAGGAGUGAUAUAGUAUCUCAAAAGUCUUUACUUGAUUCCUUGUGUCUGUUCUCCUUGACACCUCCUCAACGCAUCAGAAGGAAGAAAGGAGAGCAGGAUGGGAAGAUAUGAGUUUUCUAUGAAUAAUCAACUAAAUGCUUUUAUGAUUCAUCCUCCCCUGGUAUCCAGAAAGAGGAUAACAUUGACGGAACUCAACACUAAGGCUUGCCUAAUAAAUCAGACUGAUAUGAAUUAUUGGUAUACAGUCUGAAACAAAGUUUCCUUUCAAGCCAGAAUCUUCAAUAAAAUGACGUUUGAACUUACUCUACCUGUUGUGAGGUUGGUCCUUCAGAACAUCCACAGAGAACCUGAGCCCUAGGACAAUGCCUCGCCUGAUGACUCCUUGCUGUCCCCAGUCCACCUGGCCGUGUUGCUGCUCCAUUUUCAACUGUUCUGCCUGCGACUAUCGAACCCUGACCUGUUCAACGAACGUGCUACCCUGCUGUUUUCGACUCUCUCUCUACGGCACCUGCUGUCUAUAACUCUGAAUGAUCGGCUAUUAAUCCUGAGGUGCUGACCUGUUGCACCCUCUACAACCACUGUGAUCAUUAUUAUUUGACCCUGCUGGUCAUAUAUGAACGUUUGAACAUCUUGGCCAUGUACUGUUAUAAUCUCCACCCGGCACAGCCAGAAGAGGACUGGCCACCUCUCAGAGCCAGAUUCCUCUCCAGGUUUCAUCCUAGGUUUUCUGCCUUUCUAGGGAGUUUUUCCUAGCCACCGUGCUUCUACAUCUGCAUUGCUUGCUGUUUGGGGUUUUAGGCUGGGUUUCUGUGUAGCACUUUGUGACAUCGGCUGAUGUAAAAAGGGCUUUAUGAAUACAUUUGAAUGAUUGUAAUCCUGUGAUCUAAUAUGUUUUUCGUUUUUUUUAAGUUCAGAGGCAUAUUUUAUUUGAAACCCACUAAGAUGUUUGUGUCAGGCCAGUGAACUAAUGUUACUUUAAAUUAUUGUAUAACAUAUAUAGUGUGCUGUAGGCCUACCUAUUGUAUGACCAAUGGAAUAAAGAAAGAUUCAGUGG